rnacentral:rRNA from 1 species
ACUCCUACGGGAGGCAGCAGUGAGGAAUAUUGCGCAAUGGGCGAAAGCCUGACGCAGCAACGCCGCGUGUAGGAUGAAGUCUUUCGGCACGUAAACUACUGUUAGAGGGGAAGAAACUCCGGUUACGCCGGGGGUGACGGUACCCUCAGAGAAAGCCACGGCUAACUCUGUGCCAGCAGCCG